GCACCUCUUGAGAGCGGCGGACGGGUGAGUAAUACCUAGGAAUCUGCCUGGUAGUGGGGGAUAACGUUCGGAAACGGACGCUAAUACCGCAUACGUCCUACGGGAGAAAGCAGGGGACCUUCGGGCCUUGCGCUAUCAGAUGAGCCUAGGUCGGAUUAGCUAGUUGGUGAGGUAAUGGCUCACCAAGGCUACGAUCCGUAACUGGUCUGAGAGGAUGAUCAGUCACACUGGAACUGAGACACGGUCCAGACUCCUACGGGAGGCAGCAGUGGGGAAUAUUGGACAAUGGGCGAAAGCCUGAUCCAGCCAUGCCGCGUGUGUGAAGAAGGUCUUCGGAUUGUAAAGCACUUUAAGUUGGGAGGAAGGGCAUUAACCUAAUACGUUAGUGCUUUGACGUUACCGACAGAAUAAGCACCGGCUAACUCUGUGCCAGCAGCCGCGGUAAUACAGA
rnacentral:rRNA from 1 species